GCUUGAGAACAUGCAAUAUGGUCCUGAUCCAGAUCUGGUGCUCUGCGCUUGCUAUUUGCAUCAGAAGGAAAGCAUCCAUUGCAGCAAAAGAGAUCUUUCCUUCCAUUUCAAAUAGCAGACAUAGGACAAGGGUUGUCCUCUCCAGCCUUCCUAUCCAAAUCACCCCCAUGUGCCUGCUAUUUACUUUCCAAAAACCCAAUCAC